UACGGGGGGGGCAAGCGUUGUUCGGAAUUACUGGGCGUAAAGUGUGCGCAGGCGGCCGAGCAAGUCGAGUGUGAAAGCCCCGGGCUUAACUUGGGAAUUGCGCUCGAAACUACUUGGCUGGAGUGUGGCAGAGGAAGGUGGAAUUCCAGGUGUAGCGGUGAAAUGCGUAGAGAUCUGGAGGAACACCGAUGGCGAAGGCAGCCUUCUGGGCCAACACUGACGCUCAUGCACGAAAGCGUGGGGAGCAAACAGG
rnacentral:rRNA from 1 species